UACGAAGGGGGCUAGCGUUGCUCGGAAUUACUGGGCGUAAAGGGCGCGUAGGCGGCACUGUUAGUCAGGCGUGAAAUUCCUGGGCUCAACCUGGGGACUGCGCUUGAUACGGCAGAGCUUGAGGAUGGAAGAGGGUCGCGGAAUUCCCAGUGUAGAGGUGAAAUUCGUAGAUAUUGGGAAGAACACCGGUGGCGAAGGCGGCAUCCUGGACCAACACUGACGCUGAGUGAGCGAAAGCCAGGGGAGCAAACGGG
rnacentral:rRNA from 1 species